AAAUAAAAUAUCUGACUUUGGUUAUAUUUUUCUGUCGGUGAAAGCGAAGAGUCUUUCUCUUUCUUCUUCGAUGUUCUUGAGGAAUCUUAGAGAAGGAAAAUCAUUGAAAUCCGUUCAACAAAAUCUCAUCAGUUCUUACAAAUCGUGAUGUUAGGGAUCAAAAAAGAGGUUGCGCAAGAUCAACUUCUAAUUUCGCAGAUCUACACUAUCUGUGGCUGCAGUUUUUGAGGUUUGUGUACCUGAGGACCUACAGAAACUUAAAAUUGAAGAUGAGCAGAUUGAAGGUCUACUGGCGGCUCUCCAACGAAGUGAGAAGACGAUGUUUGCUGUUUCAAGUAAUCCUUCUGAAUCAAAACUAUACCUUGAGGGGCCAGUUCAUGCUGAUGUUGCUGUUCCAAGAGGAAAGACUUGUUACCUCUCCGAGUUAAGAACAGGAACAUAAGUAAUCGUUGUUAAUCAGAGCACGCAAUAGAGAAGGGCCGCUUUUCCUCGUGGAUGCUAAGUUAUUAUUGUUUCAAGUUAGAGUUGAAUGGUUUGGAUGUAUACAAAGAAGAUCUGAAGCAAUAAAUACAUUAUCUGCAGUGUUCUAAAGAGCAAUAGGGCAAGGUCUACUAUAUAGAAGAUAAGUUAUUUAAAACAAAUGUGUCUUCUUCUACGUUAAUAAGUUAGUUUCAGUUUUAAUAUAUCAUGGAUACUUUGUUAAAAUCUGUUACAAAUUUUUAUUUGACAGGGUCCAUACAAUUUGAAGCUCAAAUCUAAUGGAAUUGAGCUUAUUACAAAUGAAACACAUUGGAGAGAGACAUAACGUUAUGCUUCCCGU